rnacentral:lncRNA from 1 species
UGGUACAGAGCAAAACGAUUUUCACACUCAGGAUAAAAAAGAUUAAGCAUGUACAUACCUUGUACAAUUCAAUUAACAUAUGUAGUCCGACAUUGAGUUUUACUAGCUUAUGAAUUCAAGUCAUAAUCGCAACGUAAUCAACAUUCAGCCAAAAUGACGAAACAAUAAUCCAACGUAAUCAACAUUCAGCCACAAUGACGAAACAAUAAUCGCAACGUGAUCAACAUUCAGCGACAAUGAAUUCAAGUCAAAAAUAUCAAAACAGCACAACCAAUAUAACCAAUACGCCGCGACGAAUAUGCGAAAUAAUCAAACAAAAAUCAAAAUGGAAAUCAAAGUAGAAAAUAUGGUUCAAUGUAACAUAGAAUCCAGAUAUUUAAAAAAGUUUAACAUUGCAACAAUAUUCCUACCGAGUGCGGAACCGUUACGGUCGUGGUCAACCUGUGUAGAUGAGUUGUGAAGUCUGAGAGGGACGUCGCCGGUGCAGGAGGAGUAAAUGGAGAUCGGGAGAUUGUUGUUGGUGUUGGUUUAAGAACACGUCGACGGCGGUACUAAGAAACCUACGACCAAGAUGGAUGUUGGAUCCAACACCAUAACAAACAUAACCACCUGCAGAAACAACAUCUACAAAUAGAAUCAGAUGAAUUUUAGAAAUGUUGGAUCAACGCAGAGCAAAUAUCAGUUGGUGGUUUUGAGUGAGAGUAGCUGAAGGGUGAAUCGGAAUCGAAGUGUGAAGGAGGAGCAAGGUUGCGGCUGUUGGAGUUGUGUAGUGAAGGAAAGCGAGGGUUUUGUGAUGGUGAUGAGGGUUUGACGGCGAAAUAUGGUUGUUUUGUUGGUUGACG